rnacentral:rRNA from 1 species
UCCUACGGGAGGCAGCAGUCGGGAAUUUUGGGCAAUGGGCGAAAGCCUGACCCAGCAACGCCGCGUGAAGGAUGAAAUCCCUCGGGAUGUAAACUUCGCAAGAAUGGGAAGAAUUAGUAGGGGUUAAUACCCCCUAUGAUGACGGUACCAUUUGUAAGCUCCGGCUAACUCCGUGCCAGCACCCGCGGUAAUA